rnacentral:rRNA from 1 species
AUGGUGAUGUUCGAUCUCAACGAGCCACCACCAGUAGAUGAAGUAGUGGAGGAUGGAGCAGGCCGUGGUGGAGAGGAUGGAGGAAGCUGGCCGCCGCCACCAGAAGCGCUGGUGGUAGGUGCUCGAGAUCGAGGCACAGCAGAUGCCGUCGUCCUAGGUGGUCGCCGGCCGCCACCUCUAGGCAUGGCAGGCCGUCCGCGUGGCGGCUUCUUCUAUACCAGCGGUGAUACGACGCCGGGGCUCCCACCGCUCGGCCUAGUUCGUCGUCCUCGCGCCGUCUAUACUCCAAGCAUCGGCGAUGCAGCGUCGGACAUGCCACCGUCCGGCCUCCUUGGACGAACCAUGCCAAGCUUUACGAUAGGCACGGCAGGAAGCGAGCCAGUCGUCCCCGUGCGCCGCGUUGGGCUGUCCCGUAGGCCUCGCGGCGGUUGUACCGGUGAGGCAGGAUCCAGUCGUGGUGGCGGGAGCAAUCGGGCACGAGGUGCAGUCCGUCCUCGCGGUGGUGCAUCUAGUGGCUCCGCUAUGGGCGGGAGCAGCGUUGAGGGAUCUGCCGUCCAAGGUCUGUACCUUGGCGACGGCCUGGAGGAGCAGAACGGGCACAGGCAGGAGCAUGGCGGCGGUGGUACGGGUCCAUGGCGAACAGCCUGCUUUUUCUCUCCUACCCCGUGUUUCCUUCUGCCAUGGCUUAUAAAGGAUGGGAAGAACAGCAUGCACGGCAUGCAGAUUUCGUUUCACACUAGAGAAGAGGUAAAACGGGAGGAGAGGGGUUUCCACGUGGGGAGAACGAGGCAGCGGAGGGAAUCGAGGAACAAACAGAACGCUCGUUAA